rnacentral:rRNA from 1 species
GACAGAGGCCUCAAGCGUUAGGCGGAAUCACUGGGCUUAAAGCGUGUGUAGGCGGAUCGUUAAGUGUCUUGUGAAAUCCCACGGCUCACCCGUGGAACUGCUGGGCAUACUGGCGAUCUUGGGCCAACUAGGGGCAACUGGAACAAGCGGUGGAGCGGUGAAAUGCGUAGAUAUCGCUUGGAACGCCAACGGUGAAAACAGGUUGCUGGGGUUGUGCCGACGCGU